GAAUCACAUGGGUAUGCAGGUUUAUCAAAAGGGAAGCGGGUGAGAAUCCCGCACAAUGCCGUUGCUGUAUUGGCGGAGCGGUCCUCAGAUGCCACUGGCGGAGACGCCGGGAAGGCGGGGGCUGCGCUGAAUGCCUGAGUCAGAAUACCUGCCUGCAUAUGACGCACAAG
rnacentral:ncRNA from 2 species